GAUGAACGCUGGCGGCGUGCCUAAUACAUGCAAGUCGAGCGAAUGGAUUAAGAGCUUGCUCUCAUGAAGUUAGCGGCGGACGGGUGAGUAACACGUGGGUAACCUGCCCAUAAGACUGGGAUAACUCCGGGAAACCGGGGCUAAUACCGGAUAACAUUUUGAACCGCAUGGUUCGAAAUUGAAAGGCGGCUUCGGCUGUCACUUAUGGAUGGACCCGCGUCGCAUUAGCUAGUUGGUGAGGUAACGGCUCACCAAGGCAACGAUGCGUAGCCGACCUGAAAGGGUGAUCGGCCACACUGGGACUGAGACCCGGCCCAGACUCCUACGGGAGGCAGCAGUAGGGAAUCUUCCGCAAUGGACGAAAGUCUGACGGAGCAACGCCGCGUGAGUGAUGAAGGCUUUCGGGUCGUAAAACUCUGUUGUUAGGGAAGAACAAGUGCUAGUUGAAUAAGCUGGCACCUUGACGGUACCUAACCAGAAAGCCACGGCUAACUACGUGCCAGCCGCCGCAGUAA
rnacentral:rRNA from 1 species